rnacentral:rRNA from 1 species
CCUACGGGUGGCACCAGUAGGGAAUCUUCCGCAAUGGACGAAAGUCUGACGGAGCAACGCCGCGUGAGUGAUGAAGGUUUUUGGAUCGUAAAACUCUGUUGUUAGGGAAGAACAAGUACGAGAGUAACUGCUCGUACCUUGACGGUACCUAACCAGAAAGCCACGGCUAACUACGUGCCAGCAGUCGCGGUAAUACGUAGGUGGCAAGCGUUGUCCGGAAUUAUUGGGCGUAAAGCGCGCGCAGGCGGUCCUUUAAGUCUGAUGUGAAAGCCCACGGCUCAACCGUGGAGGGUCAUUGGAAACUGGGGGACUUGAGUGCAGAAGAGAAGAGUGGAACUCCACGUGUAGCGGUGAAAUGCGUAGAGAUGUGGAGGAACACCAGUGGCGAAGGCGACUCUUUGGUCUGUAACUGACGCUGAGGCGCGAAAGCGUGGGGAGCAAACAGGAUUAGAUACCCGUGUAGUC